rnacentral:lncRNA from 1 species
UUUCUCAUAUUUCUCUCAGAAUAUUAAUUAGUUUCUUUGACGUUUUCCUCUCCUUCCAGCUAAUAUACAAGUGAACCAGUGACCUGCAGCUCUGCCCACACGGGGUUAAUGACCAAUCAGAUUCUCUCUGUUCAAGAUGGUUAACAUAACAGACACCAAGAAAGGGAAGAGGAGCUGACAGCAGAGGGGGAAGCUGAAAAGAGGCACAAAGAAUGGCCAUAAAAGAUAUGAGCAACCCCAGCUUUCCAGACGGUGACUUUUCCCAGUGGUCAUAUCUGGUCUGGAAGAUUCCCUAUCGUCUCGAAUAAAGCUGUUGUUGCUUUUAACUCCAUGGAGAGACCGAAUGGAGUGAGCCCGCAGCAGGGCAUGCUGGGCAAGAGAGGUCUCCCGAGUCCCAAAUAAGAAUUUCAAGCAGUAUAAAACAAGGCAGCGAACCCACACGUGGAAGUCUGAUACCACUUGCAG